rnacentral:rRNA from 1 species
AUUGAACGCUGGCGGCAGGCCUAACACAUGCAAGUCGAGCGGAGCGGCGGACGGGUGAGUAAUGCCUAGGAAUCUGCCUGGUAGUGGGGGAUAACGUCCGGAAACGGGCGCUAAUACCGCAUACUCUCAGAUGAGCCUAGGUCGGUUUAGCUAGUUGGUGGGGUAGAGGCCUACCAAGGCGACGAUUCGUAACUGGUCUGGGAGGAUGAUCAGUAACACUGGAACUGGGACACGGGCCGGACUCCUACGGGAGGCAGCAGGGGGGAAUAUUGGACAAUGGGCGAAAGCCGGAUCCAGCCAUGCCGCGUGUGUGAAGAAGGUCUUCGGAUUGGAAAGCACUUUAAGUUGGGAGGCGUGACCAACAGAAUAAGCUCCGGCUAACUUCGUGCCAGCAGCCGCGGUAAUAC